CUUCCGUAUCUUUGAGUCACAUUCUUUUGGGAAAUCAUCAGUUUUGUGUACGUGGCUGGAGAAUUCAGACACCAAAAUAGAAUCACCAAACAUCGUUCUUUAAGGCUGUAACUGCUCCUUUACAUGGCUGUCACACACGUUCAUCAACUGGGUAAGAUUAAGAAAUAACUUUUCAAAAUCUUAAAGUUGAUUGAGUUUUCUUUCAUAAUAAUGUGUAUAACAUGCUCAAAAUGAUUUUUGAAUUAUGACACACAAAAGAUACCUAAUGCCAAGAAUUAAUAGUGAAAAACAUCCUAUAAUGCAUUUCAUUUCUGCAUGGUAAGAGCUUCUUUGGUUUGAUAAUAAUCACCAAAACGGACACAUUUACCCAAAUCUGUACAAGUGUCAGGCCUUGUACCAGUGGUAACCGAAGACCUGCUUUCUAGAUGUGCUGCAGAGGGGGCAGCCUGGCACUGGAUUCGCAGACAGAAGCUGCUGUUACCGAUUGCUUUUGGUGACUCAAAGGAAGAGCAGAAAACCGGAUGGUCCAAAUCUUUUCAUAGCAAGUUUCCAAACUGUGAAAAUGAAUUUCCUUUUAUUACAAGAUAAGAGGAAAAAGUAUUUUUGUACAUAAUAAAUUAGCAAUGGAGAAGGCAGCGGUUGAGCUGAGAUUUCUUGACCAAGACUCUGCUUCGGUGCUAACUUUUGGCUCUCAGAGAACCAGUUUGACUGGUGAUGACUGCGAGGAGGCAGAAACAUGUCUUUUAAGCGAGGCUGUGGUCCCGUUCACUUCCCCAGAAUCCUGUCGCCGUUCUCAGAACACUGACCAGGAAGUUCAGAUUCACCAGAGGUUGAAAACUUCCUUGUGA
rnacentral:lncRNA from 1 species